CAAACGACCGGCUUACACGCCAGCAGAUCGUUGAAUUAAAAAAGGAAGAGUUGAAGAACUGAAGAAGAAGAAGAAGAAGAAGAAGAGAGAGAUUACGACGCGGAUGAUGAUUUACGUUACUU
rnacentral:ribozyme from 1 species